GAUGAACGCUGGCGGCGUGCUUAACACAUGCAAGUCGAGCGGGCAAUUUAUCUAGCACUGAUUACUUCAAAUGGCUAUCGCCAGUGUAAUCAUGAAUUUCUACCUUUUAAUAAAGAAAAAAGAAAUUCAUGUACGCAAAUAGUGAUAACACAUGAAAGUGGAGUGAUGAGUGCUGGAUAAAUUGCUAGCGGCGGACGGGUGCGUAACACGUGGGUAACCUGCCCCUAUCACUGGGAUAACACACUGAAAAGUGUGCUAAUACCAGAUAAUAUAAGCUUUUGGCAUCAUUAGCUUAUCAAAGAAUUUCGGAUAGGGAUGGGCCCGCGUCUGAUUAGCUAGUUGGUGAGGUAACGGCUCACCAAGGCAACGAUCAGUAGCCGACCUGAGAGGGUGAUCGGCCACACUGGAACUGAGACACGGUCCAGACUCCUACGGG
rnacentral:rRNA from 1 species